GUCAUGAUUGAUUUAAUUAUGUGUUAAUCAAGAUUUAUUAAGACUAAGUGUUGCUUAGUUAAAUUAAUUUUGAUCAUACAGUAAAUGGUAGAAUAAUCUAGAAUUGGGUGUGUUUGUGGGUGCGUGUGUGUGUUGAGAAAAUCUGGAUGUGAAAAGAAGGUUGUGUGUGUGUUUAUUCAUUGUUUAUACGUUGUAUUAGAUAGAGCCCAUUGAAUUCAUUCUUUGACAUUCAAGAAGAGAGCUUGAGCCGUAAAGAGAGAAAGGCCCAGAGAGAGAGAGAGAGAGAGAAGGAAGGAACUCAAGGCUUGAGAAUUGAAGCAAGAACAAAGGAGAAGAGCGUGUUGUGGGAUACCAAGAGUCAAGCAAAAAAUUGUGGAAAAAUCAUCAUAAGGAUUGGAGGAAGGCGUCUCUACACCUCUUGGGAAUUAAUUCGUAGAGUUUCAAUCUAUGCUUUUGCUAAUUUGGAGAUUCAUAGACUUUUGUGUGGCUCGCCUCAACUUGGAAGACUAGAAUUUUUUUUUGAAGGAUCACAGGUGGGCAUCUUGUGGUUGAGGUUUUGCUUAGGGUCAUUCUAGGAUAUAAGUUUACCUUUUAUUUUUU